rnacentral:rRNA from 1 species
GGGACAACAGUUAGAAAUGACUGCUAAUACCGCAUAAGCGCACAGUACCGCAUGGUACAGUGCGAAAAACUCCGGUGGUACAGGAUGGGCCCGCGUCUGAUUAGUUAGUUGGCGGGGUAACGGCCCACCAAGACGACGAUCAGUAGCCGGCUUGAGAGAGUGAACGGCCACAUUGGGACUGAGACACGGCCCAAACUCCUACGGGAGGCAGCAGUGGGGAAUAUUGCACAAUGGGGGAAACCCUGAUGCAGCAACGCCGCGUGAGUGAAGAAGUAUUUCGGUAUGUAAAGCUCUAUCAGCAGGGAAGAAAAUGACGGUACCUGACUAAGAAGCCCCGGCUAACUACGUGCCAGCAGCCGCGGUAAUACGUAGGGGGCAAGCGUUAUCCGGAUUUACUGGGUGUAAAGGGAGCGCAGGCGGUGCGGCAAGUCAGAUGUGAAAACCCGGGGCUCAACCCCGGGACUGCAUUUGAAACUGUCGGACUAGAGUGCCGGAGAGGUAAGUGGAAUUCCUAGUGUAGCGGUGAAAUGCGUAGAUAUUAGGAGGAACACCAGUGGCGAAGGCGGCUUACUGGACGGUAACUGACGCUGAGGCUCGAAAGCGUGGGGAGCAAACAGGAUUAGAUACCCUGGUAGUCCA